rnacentral:lncRNA from 1 species
CAGCUUAUCAUGGCGUCACCCCUGACGUCAGCCACCUGCACACCUUUGGCUGCCUGGCCUACGUCCGCAUCCCAGCCAGCCAGCAGGAUAAGCUCGGUCCCCGCGCGAAGGCGGGAACCUACCUUGGACCGGAGCGCAACACGGCCGCCCACUGUGUCCUUGUUGACGGCAAGGUGAGUGUUAGCAGUGACGUCACCUUCGAUGAUGACCACCGCGGCCCGGCAUCUCAACGGGCGGGCACCCCCUUCGGCACCAGCCCCGCCCGUCCUGGCGGC